AUUGAACGCUGGCGGCAGGCCUAACACAUGCAAGUCGAACGAGUGGCGGACGGGUGAGUAAUGUCUGGGAAACUGCCCGAUGGAGGGGGAUAACUACUGGAAACGGUAGCUAAUACCGCAUACCAUCGGAUGUGCCCAGAGGGGAUUAGGUAGUAGGUGGGGUAAAGGCUCACUUAGGCGACGAUCCAUAGCGGUGCUGAGAGGAGAACCAGCAACAUGGGAACUGAGACACGGUCCAGACUCCGACGGGAGGCAGCAGUGGGGAAUAUUGCACAAUGGGAGCAAGCCUGAUGCAGCCAUGCCGCGUGUAUGAAGAAGGCCUUCGGGUUGUAAAGUACUUUCAGCGAGGAGGCGUUACUCGCAGAAGAAGCACCGGCUAACUCCGUGCCAGCAGCCGCGGUAAUUC
rnacentral:rRNA from 1 species